GACGAACGCUGGCGGCGUGCUUAACACAUGCAAGUCGAACGGAAAGGCCCUGCUUUUGUGGGGUGCUCGAGUGGCGAACGGGUGAGUAACACGUGAGUAACCUGCCCUUGACUUUGGGAUAACUUCAGGAAACUGGGGCUAAUACCGGAUAGGAGCUCCUGCUGCAUGGUGGGGGUUGGAAAGUUUCGGCGGUUGGGGAUGGACUCGCGGCUUAUCAGCUUGUUGGUGGGGUAGUGGCUUACCAAGGCUUUGACGGGUAGCCGGCCUGAGAGGGUGACCGGCCACAAUGGGACUGAGAGACGGCCCAGACUCCUACGGGAGGCAGCAGUGGGGAAUAUUGCACAAUGGGCGGAAGCCUGAUGCAGCAACGCCGCGGGCGGGAUGACGGCCUUCGGGUUGUAAACCGCUUUCGCCUGUGACGAAGCGGGAGUGACGGUAAUGUGUAAAGAAGCACCGGCUAACUACGUG
rnacentral:rRNA from 1 species